rnacentral:rRNA from 1 species
AGCGAACGCUGGCGGCAGGCCUAACACAUGCAAGUCGAACGAACCUUUCGGGGUUAGUGGCGGACGGGUGAGUCACACGUGGGAACGUGCCUUUAGGUUCGGAAUAACUCAGGGAAACUUGUGCUAAUACCGAAUGUGCCCUUCGGGGGAAAGAUUUAUCGCCUUUAGAGCGGCCCGCGUAGGAUUAGCUAGUUGGUUGAGGUAAUGGCUCACCAAGGCGACGAUCAGUAGCUGGUCUGAGAGGAUGAUCAGCCACAUUGGGACUGAGACACGGCCCAAAAUCCUGCGGGAGGCAGCAGUGGGGAAUCUAGCGCAAUGGGCGAAAGCAUGACGCAGCCAUGCCGCGUGAAUGAUGAAGGUCUUAAGAUAGAAAAAUUCUUUCACCGGGGACGAUAAUGACGGUACCCGGAGAAGAAGCCCCGGCUAACUUCGUG